rnacentral:rRNA from 1 species
AUUGAACGCUGGCGGCAUGCCUUACACAUGCAAGUCGAACGGCAGCACGGGUGCUUGCACCUGGUGGCGAGUGGCGAACGGGUGAGUAAUACAUCGGAACGUGCCCAGUCGUGGGGGAUAACGUAGCGAAAGUUACGCUAAUACCGCAUACGAUCUAAGGAUGAAAGCGGGGGACCGUAAGGCCUCGCGCGAUUGGAGCGGCCGAUGUCAGAUUAGGUAGUUGGUGGGGUAAAGUCUCACCAAGCCGACGAUCUGUAGCUGGUCUGAGAGGACGACCAGCCACACUGGGACUGAGACACGGCCCAGACUCCUACGGGAGGCAGCAGUGGGGAAUUUUGGACAAUGGAUGCAAGUCUGAUCCAGCCAUUCCGCGUGCAGGACGAAGGCCUUCGGGUUGUAAACUGCUUUUGUACGGAACGAAAAAGCUCUUACUAAUACUAGGAGUCCAUGACGGUACCGUAAGAAUAAGCACCGGCUAACUACGUGCCAGCCGCCGCCGUAA